rnacentral:rRNA from 1 species
UACGAAGGGGGCUAGCGUUGCUCGGAAUCACUGGGCGUAAAGCGCACGUAGGCGGCUUGUUAAGUCAGUGGUGAAAUCCUGGAGCUUAACUCCAGAACUGCCUUUGAUACUGAUGAGCUUGAGUCCGGGAGAGGUGAGUGGAACUGCGAGUGUAGAGGUGAAAUUCGUAGAUAUUCGCAAGAACACCAGUGGCGAAGGCGGCUCACUGGCGCGGUACUGACGCUGAGGUGCGAAAGCGUGGGGAGCAAACAGG